rnacentral:rRNA from 2 species
UGCUAUACAUGCAGUCGAGCGGACUUUAAAAGCUUGCUUUUAAAGUUAGCGGCGGACGGGUGAGUAACACGUGGGCAACCUGCCUGUAAGACUGGGAUAACUUCGGGAAACCGGAGCUAAUACCGGAUAAUCCUUUUCCUCUCAUGAGGAAAAGCUGAAAGACGGUUUACGCUGUCACUUACAGAUGGGCCCGCGGCGCAUUAGCUAGUUGGUGAGGUAACGGCUCACCAAGGCGACGAUGCGUAGCCGACCUGAGAGGGUGAUCGGCCACACUGGGACUGAGACACGGCCCAGACUCCUACGGGAGGCAGCAGUAGGGAAUCUUCCGCAAUGGACGAAAGUCUGACGGAGCAACGCCGCGUGAGUGAUGAAGGUUUUCGGAUCGUAAAACUCUGUUGUUAGGGAAGAACAAGUACAAGAGUAACUGCUUGUACCUUGACGGUACCUAACCAGAAAGCCACGGCUAACUACGUGCCAGCAGCCGCGGUAAUACGUAGGUGGCAAGCGUUGUCCGGAAUUAUUGGGCGUAAAGCGCGCGCAGGCGGUCCUUUAAGUCUGAUGUGAAAGCCCACGGCUCAACCGUGGAGGGUCAUUGGAAACUGGGGGACUUGAGUGCAGAAGAGAAGAGUGGAAUUCCACGUGUAGCGGUGAAAUGCGUAGAGAUGUGGAGGAACACCAGUGGCGAAGGCGACUCUUUGGUCUGUAACUGACGCUGAGGCGCGAAAGCGUGGGGAGCAAACAGGAUUAGAUACCCUGGUAGUCCACGCCGUAAACGAUGAGUGCUAAGUGUUAGAGGGUUUCCGCCCUUUAGUGCUGCAGCAAACGCAUUAAGCACUCCGCCUGGGGAGUACGGCCGCAAGGCUGAAACUCAAAGGGAAUUGACGGGGGGCCCGCACAAGCGGUGGAGCAUGUGGGUUUAAUUCGGAAGCAACGCGAAGAACCUUUACCAGGUCUUGACAUCCUCUGACACUCCUAGAGAUAGGACGUUCCCUUUCGGGGGACAGAGUGACAGGUGGUGCAUGAUGUCGUCAGCUC